rnacentral:rRNA from 1 species
GAUGAACGCUGGCGGCGUGCCUAAUACAUGCAAGUCGAGCGAACAGACGAGGAGCUUGCUCCUCUGACGUUAGCGGCGGACGGGUGAGUAACACGUGGAUAACCUACCUAUAAGACUGGGAUAACUUCGGGAAACCGGAGCUAAUACCGGAUAAUAUAUUGAACCGCAUGGUUCAAUAGUGAAAGACGGUUUUGCUGUCACUUAUAGAUGGAUCCGCGCCGCAUUAGCUAGUUGGUAAGGUAACGGCUUACCAAGGCAACGAUGCGUAGCCGACCUGAGAGGGGGAGGGGCAAACAGGAAGAUGAAACCCGGAAAAGCACCCUAGGAGGGCGCAAGGAGGGGAAUCUCGAGAAUGGGGGAGAACGCUAACGGAGAAACGCCGCGAGAGUAAAGAAGGUUUAAGGAACAAAAACCACUUUUAGUGGGGAAGAAAAAUGGAAGAGAAAACUAGGCACGUCGUGACGGUACCGAAUAAAAAAGCCGGGGCUAACUACGUG